rnacentral:rRNA from 1 species
AAAGAUUAAGCCAUGCAUGUGUAAGUAUAAAUAAUUUUCCUUUGAAACUGCGAAUGGUUCAUUAUAUCAGUUAUAGUUUAUUAGAAAUACUUUAAUAGGAGGAUAGUAGUAGUAAUUGUAGGGAUACUACAAGAAUAAAUCUUCCAUUUAGGAAGAGGUGUGUUUAUUAGUAUGAAAACCAUAUAUCUUUGGAUAUAAUAAUGAGUAAUAAUAACCGAUUGUAUUGUAUGUAGUAUGAUAACGAUAGUUCUUUCAAG